rnacentral:rRNA from 1 species
AUUGAACGCUGGCGGCAUGCCUUACACAUGCAAGUCGAACGGUAACAGGUCUUCGGAUGCUGACGAGUGGCGAACGGGUGAGUAAUACAUCGGAACGUGCCCGAUCGUGGGGGAUAACGAAGCGAAAGCUUUGCUAAUACCGCAUACGAUCUACGGAUGAAAGCAGGGGACCGCAAGGCCUUGCGCGAACGGAGCGGCCGAUGGCAGAUUAGGUAGUUGGUGGGAUAAAAGCUUACCAAGCCGACGAUCUGUAGCUGGUCUGAGAGGACGACCAGCCACACUGGGACUGAGACACGGCCCAGACUCCGACGGGCGGCAGCAGUGGGGAAUUUUGGACAAUGAGCGAAAGCCUGAUCCAGCCAUGCCGCGUGCAGGAUGAAGGCCUUCGGGUUGUAAACUGCUUUUGUACGGAACGAAAAGACUCUGGUUAAUGCCUGGGGUCCAUGACGGUACCGUAAGAAUAAGCACCGGCUAACUACGUG